rnacentral:rRNA from 1 species
CCUACGGGGGGCUGCAGUGGGGAAUAUUGGACAAUGGGGGGAACCCUGAUCCAGCCAUGCCGCGUGUGUGAAGAAGGCCCUCGGGUUGUAAAGCACUUUCAGUGAGGAAGAACGCCUGGUGGUUAAUACCCAUCAGGAAAGACAUCACUCACAGAAGAAGCACCGGCUAACUCCGUGCCAGCAGCCGCGGUAAUACGGAGGGUGCGAGCGUUAAUCGGAAUUACUGGGCGUAAAGCGCGCGUAGGUGGCUUGAUAAGCCGGUUGUGAAAGCCCCGGGCUCAACCUGGGAACGGCAUCCGGAACUGUCAAGCUAGAGUGCAGGAGAGGAAGGUAGAAUUCCCGGUGUAGCGGUGAAAUGCGUAGAGCUCGGGAGGAAUACCAGUGGCGAAGGCGGCCUUCUGGACUGACACUGACACUGAGGUGCGAAAGCGUGGGUAGCAAACAGGAUUAGAUACCCUAGUAGUC